GACGGAGGAUGCAAGCGUUAUCCGGAAUUAUUGGGCGUAAGGGGUGCGUAGGGGGUCGGACCAGUCCCAUGUAAAAGCAUGGUGCUUAACGCCAUAAAGGCGUGGGAAACUGUCGGACUAGAGUACAGCAGGGGCAGGAGGAAUUCCCGGUGUAGCGGUGAAAUGCGUAGAUAUCGGGAAGAACACCAGUGGCGCAAGCGUUCUGCUGGGCUGUAACUGACACUGAGGCACGAAAGCUAGGGGAGCGAAAGGG
rnacentral:rRNA from 1 species